GUAACUGCGAGUGAAGCGGGAAAAGCUCAAAUUUAAAAUCCCUUCUGGGAGUUGUAAUCUAGAGACGUGUUUUCGGUCGUUGCCUCGGACAAGUCCCUUGGAAUAGGGCGUCAUAGAGGGUGAGAAUCCCGUACUUGCCGAGCUCCCAAUGACUAUGUGAUACACGUUCGAAGAGUCGAGUUGUUUGGGAAUGCAGCUCAAAAUGGGUGGUAAACUCCAUCUAAAGCUAAAUAUUGGCGAGAGACCGAUAGCGAACAAGUACCGUGAGGGAAAGAUGAAAAGCACUUUGGAAAGAGAGUUAAACAGUACGUGAAAUUGUUGAAAGGGAAGCGCUUGAAGUCAGUCGCGUUGCAGGGACUCAGCCGUCAAGGUGCAUUUCUCUGCAACGGGUCAACAUCAAUUUCGGCCGCGGGAAAAGGGCUUGGGGAAUGUGGCAGCUUCGGCUGUGUUAUAGCCUCUUGUCGUACACCGCGGCCGGGAUUGAGGACUGCUAUUACAGGAUGUUGACAAAAUGGCUUUAAGCGACCCGUCUUGAAACACGGACCAAGGAGUCUAACAUGUCUGCGAGUGUUCGGGUGUCAAACCCGUGCGCGUAAUGAAAGUAAACGUAGGUGGGAGGCUUCGGCCGCACCAUCGACCGAUCCGGAUCUCUUGUGAUGGAUUUGAGUAAGAGCAUAUAUGUUGGGACCCGAAAGAUGGUGAACUAUGCCUGAAUAGGGCGAAGCCAGAGGAAACUCUGGUGGAGGCUCGUAGCGAUUCUGACGUGCAAAUCGAUCGUCAAAUUUGGGUAUAGGGGCGAAAGACUAAU
rnacentral:rRNA from 1 species